rnacentral:rRNA from 1 species
AUGGAUGAUUACAUCCAGAGGCUUCAAGGGUUGGGCUUGCUGGAUUCGAGGGGGAAUGCAAUCCGCGAGUUCAAUCUGCCCCAUGACAACAGUGCCGCUCCGGCAGCAGCAGCGCGUCCGGAGUACCCGACGGUGGUUGAUGUCGAACUGAAGACGGAAUUGAAGAAGAUGAAUAAGAACUUCAAGCAGCUGAUUGAGUUGAAGAAGCAAUCCAAUCUGAGAGCUUUAGGAAUACUUGCUUUAGGAAUUUUUACUUGA